rnacentral:rRNA from 1 species
GAUGAACGCUGGCUACAGGCUUAACACAUGCAAGUCGAGGGGAAACGACGGGGAAGCUUGCUUCCCCGGGCGUCGACCGGCGCACGGAUGAGUAACGCGUAUCCAACCUGCCUCUGACUGAGGGAUAACCCGUCGAAAGUCGGCCUACUACCUCAUGGUAUCGUCUGCGGGCAUCCAACGACGAUUAAAGAUUUCAUCGGCCAGGGAUGGGGAUGCGUCUGAUUAGCUUGUUGGCGGGGUAACGGCCCACCAAGGCUACGAUCAGUAGGGGUUCUGAGAGGAAGGUCCCCCACAUUGGAACUGAGACACGGUCCAAACUCCUACGGGAGGCAGCAGUGAGGAAUAUUGGUCAAUGGGCGAGAGCCUGAACCAGCCAAGUAGCGUGCAGGAAGACGGCCCUAUGGGUUGUAAACUGCUUUUAUGCGGGGAUAAAGUGAGGGACGUGUCCCUCAUUGCAGGUACCGCAUGAAUAAGGACCGGCUAAUUCCGUG